AUACAUUCCUUUAAGGUCUGUUGUGUGCUUUAUGUGGAUUAUAUGUAGUAUGCACAUACUUUCAUAUGCACUUAUAUAAUAGUUUAAAAAAAAAAAAAUCCAGCACCGAGUGAAUGCAUUGUCAUUACUAGCUUUAUUUUUUGUUGUAUAAUCAGUCGUACCACUCAGCUCAUUUGCUUUCUGUAUCACGCAAUUCUUACCAGUUGCAUAACAAUUUUAGGUAAACUCCAACAAACAAAAUAAUUCACUUUAUCCCCUUCCUGCUUUAAAAGGGAUAUAAUAUUUUGUUUUCAGCUCUCUGUCAGUUUUAUAUAUAAACCACCAGUAGUUCAUGAUGAAAAUCUCUCUCCUUUACUCAAUCUUGAUUGGCUUAAUCCCAUGGGGUGGAGGGGAGAUAAUUUUUUAUAUUCCUAUUAUUUGGGUUUAAAAGAGCUCUUGCCUUUUGAGCUAACAAAUUCCUUGAGUUAAAAUUCAAGAACAGACAGCACAUCAUCUUUAAAUAAUGUCAAGUUCCCAUAGUUCUAUGAAACCUGAAUAUUCAGUAAAUAUUUUAGGGAUUAAUUUUAGGUUUUAAUAAUCACUAAAAUUUUCUUUGCAUGAAAUGAAGUGUGAUAGUUUAUAUAAAAAAGAAGUAACAUUUCUGCUUCACAUGUGUGAUUUAGAAGCACCAGUGCCUUAGGAAAACCAUUUGAUUGAAGAAGCCUAAGCUUAAGUCUGACUAUUUCAGUUUUCUUCUAUAAGCACUUGUUAUUGCAAAAACACCAACUAUUCACUUAAACUCGGUAUUUGGUAUCCCAAAUCUUUAGCAAUUUAUAAAGUCUUCCUUUAUGUGAUUGAUUUUUUUCACUAAUCUGAAGCAGUGAGCAAUAACUACACUAUACAUUUAUCUUUCCAAAAUAAGAGGGCUGCUGAUUCACAAAUAAGAAGGCUUUGUGUAGUUGAAUGAGUUUUACAUAGUAGCACACUAGCAAGUGAGCAAAUGAAUAUGGUUGGAUGGGAUGACUACUAUAGUACAAUACAGUUAAUUUUGGGGGGAGUGCAAUCUAAUUUUUUUUUAAAAAUGAUUUGUGAUAUUUCUACAGUGAUACUCCAACCUAGGGGUUUUUUUCUGGGGGGGAAAUGGUGCAACUAGCUGUAUGUGAUUUGAAAGUUUUAUGAUGUUUGUGGAUUGGUUCAUGUUAAGCCAGACUUGAGUUCUUCUAAAUUUCAUUGCUAGGACUAUGAGUUUUCCUGAAGAGCAACAUACCAUAGAAAUUACUUGGGGGUAAAAGAGUUAUGGAAAGGGAAAGAGUUCUCAUUCUGAGUAAAUGAUUAGGUUGGAUUUAGCUUUGCUACUGUGAUUAUUUACCUAACUGGAAUCUGUAUCCAACUGGUGUUUACAACUUUUUGACUCAGCAUUGUGUUACACGUCCGGGUGUUCUAGGUAUUCAAAAGUUUGUGUUUGUGGAUCAAGUAAUAAAACUUGUUAUUUUACUAAUGUUUAAAACACAUGUCCUUUACUGUGAAAUAGGGAAUUAUUUUUUAAGAAAUUCUCCACUUAUGAUUUUUUAAAGGGCUGGAAUAUCGGUGUGUGGGAAGACAUGAAAAAAUGAAAGUUAUUCCUUUAUAAAAACUUUGAAAUGUGUCCCUUUUUCAUUUUUCUCAAAUGACUUAUGAUAAUGUAAUGCCAUCAGCAUAACAGAUUAAUUUUAGUUUCCAAGGAACAAUCACUUCUUCCUCACUAACGCUUUUGCACCCUUUAUUCACACAUUAUUGAAGCUAAAAAAAAAAUGGAGGCAAUGAGAAAUCAUACUAAUAUAAUUUGAAUCGCAGAACUUUUGAAGAGUGCACGUCUCAAAACGAAUAAUUUUAACUUUCAACUUGAAAUAGCUUAGUUAUGUUCUAAAUCUUAACCUAUAUAAUAUGAAUUAGAAUUAGUAUGAUUUGAAGUACCAGCAAAAACUGUCUUUUACAAUUAUAUGAUAAUGUGGUGAUAUGUAACAAAAUGCUCAUUACUGUUUAACAAGUUUCAUCAAUACUGUAUUGAUAUAUUGAUCAUCAGCAAACAUGAUUUUUCCUAUCACAUGGAGCCAAAACUCAGCUCCAUUUAAAAUUUACAGUCAGGAUUCUUAAUGUCCCCCCCUUCCCAUUUUAAUGAGUUAAUGCUACAUUAUCAGAAGGUCUGACAAUAUCUUUAGUUUCCUCCUCCCCUCCCCUAUUUACUAGUAUAAAGUCAACAACCAAAAUAAUCAUCACAGUCUAUGCACUGAAGCAAUGCACUUUAUUUACAUACACAGGAGACUUCCCUCAGCUCAGAUCCUUACUCUAAUUUCUUUAGCCAUCUCACUAAAUUUUUAUGUAAUAUGAUUUCUAAACAAACAGAUAAGUGUGUGCUAAAAGCAGGCAUAGUGAUAGAGAAAACAAAGGAAAUAAAUUUAAAACAUUCAGAACUCGUGUAGGAACAGUUUGUCUUACCUCCAUCAGUAGCCCUAAAAGAAAUUAGUCUAUGAUAGCACAAAAUACAAUGAUGAAUAAUAUUUCUAAUGAUACCAGUUUGUCAAGAAAUGGUUAAAUGUACUCUAUUCCUUUUACCAAUGUAGGGGAGUAUGUGAUACAUUUUAGAAAGUAAGUUAAAAUUUAAAUGGGUGGGCUUCUGGGAAAAUUUAUUCACUCAUGUAGAACAAGCUAUAACAUCCUCAACAAUGCUGGAGAAAUGGAAAUGUUCCUACUUUGUUAUUCUAUUUAUUGUCUUUCAUGUAACAGACUGGUUUCUUUGGUUACCCCUGGAAUUUCUCGUAGCAUAUAGGACUGUUCCAUAACUAGUUAGGUGUUAAGUUUCUUUUGGCUCUAAAUGCUUAUUAUAAAAUGUUAAUACUGCAAAUUCUUGUUUCUUGCUUGGACAGUGUGUCAUUUUUGAGAUCUACAUUUCAGCCAUGUUCCAAUGAACAAAACAGUAAAAUAAAUUUGAUAACAUUUUAUAUGCAUGUUUUUAUUUCGUGGGAGGAACUCUUUUCAUCCAGAAAACACAACACUCUUUCUUCCUCUCUCUGCUCUUCACACACAGCCCAGGAAGGAAAUGCAGACUUUUCAUGAAAAUGGCUUUUAGUCCAAAAAGUUAUUCCAUUUGCAGCUUAAAGUGUGGAGAACAUGAAAGGAUUCUAAGAAGAAAUAAAAUAAGAGGGGCCCUGGGAAAAAAUUUUCUCUUCUGUUUACUCAGAUUAUGAUGAGA
ensembl:lncRNA